CAAAUUGACCCGACCGAAAAUGACCCAGAAUCGGGUCAAAUGACCCGAUUGGCUGACAGCCAUUGUAAAAUAUUCAAGAUGGCGGACGAACUGUCAAAUGACCGUGAAGUUUCCGAAAAAGGAUUUAAAACAUCACACUGGAUUACAACAAUAAAUUAUCAGUGCAUUUCAUGUGAAUAAUGGAUUAUUAACUAAGAGACAUUAUCACCUUGUGGAACGACAUGAUUCAAACGCUCAAGUAAGAAUAACUUGUCAAGUUUUGAAAUCUUGAAAGGUCAAAAACUAUCUCAGGAUUACCCAAGAUUCAAAGGUAAAAUGGCGGUGUACACGCUGAAUUACAAAGAAAAUAUGUGAACUUUGUGAAAUUCCCGACAAGAGUUAUUACGUUUUGCUGUGUUAGUGCCAUAAAACAACAGGUUUGAGAUCAGUACAUGUUAUGCAAAUAAUGUUAAACCUGUACAUCAAUAAUUUACUGAAUAACUUGGUACUUAUUAAAUAUUUUGCAUGAACAAUGCUUGAAAAAAAUGGACUUUAUCCAGGAUAAUAUUACUAACAACACUUAGUGACUAUUAAUGAUCUUGGCAUGAUGGACACAGGGCUAGCCCGUCUGUAAUAUCAGGAUGGCACUAAGCACUGGCCUAAAAUGCCAAGGUUUGAAAACUUCAAAAUAUCUUUCCAUGAAUAGACAAAGGUUGGCAUCGGCGAUGGUAGAUGCACGUUACGGUUUUAUCUGAUGCUGCGCUUACUGUUCAGGGAAAUGAAUAUGGUCGGUUUGACCAAACAGUUUGUGUAGAGACCGUACUGGAAAGACUCAGGCGGCUGAAAUAUUCGAUGUAUGGGCGUAUAAUAAAGGCAUGGACUGCUAUGACAGACACAGAGUCAGAGGCGGUAAUCACGUGGUAUAUUGUUUUGAUACCAAGCAUUAAAAAAUGGCAGCGCCCAGUGAGACGCCUGAUAAACUAGUCGUUGAAGAGCUGGUUUCACAACAUCUAAUGGUAGUUAUAGUAUGUUUUAAACUUUGUGUAUUAGUCC